CGGAUCCGUAAUCGGAUUUUGACACUUAUGACAUUUUUACUUUCGUCGACCGCACUAUGAAAACACAUUUGACAUAAAAUACUUCGUUUCUGCGUUCGGAUCUUAGCGUCAAUUUUACGAAAGCUCUAAUCCUUUCGUUUGAUUUUCGUUUGGUACUUCAGAGGUUUUAAAAUUGCUCAAUAACUCCUGUGUGAUGAAUUGUUGCGAUAGGAAAGUGCUGGGCGAAGUUGGAAGCGUCUCUAACUGCGUAAAACCUUCGUAACAUGGAAUUUGUAAGAACUUAUAGGACUUUGCCACCCCUUUUUGAAACCAUCUGCGAGGAUAUAGUUCCACUAAUUCCUCCAAAGAACAUAUACGGGGAAUUGAUACUACCACUAAGGAGUUGUUAGGGAGCUGUGGAACUAAGUAUAGAUGGGUCCAUGGCCCAGCAAACAGUCUCUGAGUGCCUCAGGCAAGUGUCUGAGUCAGCCUCAUAUAUUCACUAAAUUUAUAAAAUUUCCACAAAACCGACAAGAAAGGACUCUUAUUAAAGAACAAAUAAAAUAAUUAAACAACUACUAACUCGCUAGAGCUGCCAUAACCAACACUGCAUCACGCAUGGAAGAUUAACUACCAAAUAUAUGUUAUUGGAA
rnacentral:lncRNA from 1 species